UUGCCUUCUCCCCCUGAAUCUUUAUGCUAGUGAGUGUGUCAGUGUUUGUGUUCAUGAAUUGCUCCGUGUGCAUUCUUUUAGAGGUUGAAGCCAAACAAUUGAGACUUUGAAAUUGGAGUCGGUGAACUAAAAGGAUCAAACACGAAAUUGGAUUUUGCAUUUAGGAUCAUCUUCUAUCUACAAUUGAUGUUUGCUUGUUAUAUAUGUUUUUUAUACAUUAUAAACAUGAUCAUGAGAAUUGUAAAUCAAAACAAAAUUUAAAUUCUGCUGUGCUUGGGUAUAGGAUUCUCGGCCGUUUAUUGGACAUGGUUUUGAAAGUUGAGCAUUCAUAGUACCUGAGUUUUUCCGAACAUGUAGAUUGAAAUAUGAUUACCUAGAGGCCCCCCUUUUGUUAAUACAGUUGAGUGUUGAGGAUCUCUUCAAAUUGAUUUUCCUCAUAUAAAGUCCUAAGUUGGGCUCAGCUGAUGAUAUAUAGGGUUGGAUGGAUAUAAUCUGCCACAUCUUAGCUCUCAAGAACCCUAGAAUCGAACAUGACACUCGCUAAAGCUCCCAGAAGUUAGGAGGUCACUCAGGUCACGCGGACCAAAGGAAGAUGAGAAACUCUCUGAGUUCCAAGUCGAGUUGAUCCAGCUUGCAUCCCAGCUGGUCGGUGAUCAUGUUCUCAAUACCUACCCAUAUAUGGGAAAAUCCAUGACUGUGGGUGAAGCAAACCGUUAUGCGGAGACAGCAGUUGCAAGGUUCUUGGAAGCUGGAAAGACAGCUUUGAGAGCUGGAGCAAAUGAAUCUGCUCUUGUCAGAAUGAGACCGUCCCUCACUAGCCGAACUUCAGGGGGUUAUAGCAGCUAUUGAUCAAUCCCCCUCUACAUUAGCGAGUUGUGUAUAGUAUAUUCAUAUUGAACUUUCCAUACUGGUGUACGUAAAUUUUAGUAGUAUUCAAACUUCUUAGUACCAAAGCAAGACCUGUUGGCCCGAUCGGCCAAUUCGAAGUCUUAAUAGUAAACAUAUAAACCACUCUGUUGUGUAUGACACUAGUGAACUUUCUGUAUGGAGCUUAGGUCCUUUCAGGUGUUUUAUAAAAUAAUUGCAAACUCCAAUGGUUGAAUAGUAAACAUUAUUUCGCCACGAGGUUGGUCAGUCUUAAAUUUA